AUUGAACGCUGGCGGCAGGCCUAACACAUGCAAGUCGAACGAGGGGCGGACGGGUGAGUAAUGUCUGGGAAACUGCCUGAUGGAGGGGGAUAACUACUGGAAACGGUAGCUAAUACCGCAUACCAUCAGAUGUGCCCAGAUGGGAUUAGCGAGUUGGUGGGGUAACGGCUCACCAGGCCGACGAUCCCUAGCUGGUCUGAGAGGAUGACCAGCCCCACUGGAACUGAGACACGCGCCAGACUCCUACGGGAGGCAGCAGUGGUGAAUAUUGAACAAUGGGCGCAAGCCUGAUGCAGCAAUGCCGCGUGUAUGAAGAAGGCCUUCGGGUUGUAAAGUACUUUCAGCGGGGAGGCGUUACCCGCAGAAGAAGCACCGGCGAACGCCGUGCCAGCAGCCGCGGUAAUUC
rnacentral:rRNA from 1 species